CUACAUAGGCACAUCUGGCUUCUAGAGUGGGAAUUCCCUACAUAGGCACAUCUGGCUUCUAGAGUGGGAAUUCCCUACAUAGGCACAUCUGGCUUCGGAGAGGCUUGCUCCUAGCACUCUAAUGGGUAGAUGGAUGGAUAGAUGGUGCCAGCUUCUCUGUGAACUUGAAAAUUUCAUCUAGAAGCUCAGAAAAUGGAAGCCAAGCUCCGGAGGACACCAUUCAGCAGCCAGGGAAGAGUUACAAAGGAACACUGAGCAUCUAGCUAUCUGGCCCAGGAUGACUCAAUAUAAUUAUCCAUCUACUUCAGCAUCCUCAGGGUUAGGAGUAAAGAUGUGAACCACCAUGUCCAACUUUAGUAGAGUAUCCUAAUAGAUGGUCUGGAACUUGAAGUGGUUCUCUCAGUGUCUAUAAUUUGUCAACAUUCUGGCCUGGGCCUGUACGUCACGUGUGACUCUGGAUCUGAAUGAGCUUCUCAAGACUGUUCCUUCUGCACCAAAUCAUGAUGGUACACUACACUGCCCAGUACAGCACAGGAGCCAUGUAACCCUGUAGUUCCAGAGUGAGAGAAACAGCAAAUGUCAUCAUCAUUCUAAGUCAACAUAAACCAGAACUCAGUUCUACACCUAUGGGAACUAAGAAAGGUGAUCAACCUGAAGUCACCCAGUCAGGUGGGAAGCAGCCUGGGUGAGAGGCCAGGUGAGAUCACCCGUGUGCUUUCCAGUGCUUGGUUCAGACCACCGGAUUGCCUCCUCAAGCAAAUGCUCAUCCCUUGAAGUAAGGACUUUAAAGAGUGGAGCUUUCCAUGAAGGUUUCAGAAGCAACCCAGGGACCACAAGGCCAAAGGACCAUAAUCACAUUAAUUUUUGAGUUAAAUGCUCCUAUCUCAGAGACAACACCAGUUAUUACAGCUCACUGACAAGGAAAUUAAGGGAGAACCCACCCACUCAAGAAGCAAGAGUUGGUGCAUUGCUCCUUUCCUGGUUCCACAUUAUCUCAUGCGUGACACCUAAACACAGCUUUCUUCUACACAAGACUCCUCUUAGCGUGUGAUGGGGUGGGGUCAAUGAGGGGUGUGGGCAACAGCCAGUCACUAUAGGGAUGAUUCUGCCCGCAGAAAAGACACAGAAACACAUCUAAUGCAGUAUGUCUCUACCCUG